AGUGAACACCUACAUCUUUAUAUUACCAUACAUAUUGGCUGAUAUUGGCUCAGCAUGCAUACAGCCACAGUAAUGUAGUAAUUUAAUCUGUUUCACUGAGUAAUCAGUGAAGUCCCAUGGACAAUAUGUACCUAAUUCGUGUAAUUCGCAUAUGAUUUGGGCCGUUCGCCGAAGAGGCCGGACUAUGCAUGUCAAUGCGUUUCACAAAGCGAAGAUCCGAUGCGAUAAGUGGCACAAUACACGGUCGAUCACCUACCCAUCGUGACCAUAGUACCUAUAAACAUACUUGUAAGUAUGUAUAAACUAAACACGAUGACGAUGUCACACUUAAAACAAAAGAGAAAUGGCUCUAUUUUAUGGUGGAGGCUCGGGCGUGGCGUCUCGUCGUGUUAAUAUAGUUGAGUAGUGCAGAAGAGGGACCAUUGCGGCUCCUAGCACUAUGGCACCGUAUGUCGGCUUGUGGACCAACCUGAAAUAAAACGGGAAGUUUUUAUUAAAACCUUGUUCUACAAAUGUUAUGCCAAUUAAAUAAUUUAUGUUUUA